GGGGGUGUUGCUCAGUGGUAGAGCAAAUGCUUAGCAUGUUCAGGAUUCUGGGUUUGAUCCCCAGUACCCUGA
rnacentral:tRNA from 1 species